rnacentral:rRNA from 1 species
GGCGCACGGGUGAGUAACGCGUAGGUAAUCUACCCCUGUAUCUGGGACAACCGACCGAAAGGUUGGCUAAUACCGGAUGCCCUUUAUUUGUCGCGAGUCAGAUAAAGGAAAGGUGACCUCUGAUCAAGUUACCGUAUGGGGAUGAGCCCGCGUACCAUUAGCUAGUAGGUGGGGUAAGGGCCUACCUAGGCGACGAUGGUUAGCGGGUCUGAGAGGAUGAUCCGCCACACUGGAACUGGAACACGGACCAGACUCCUACGGGAGGCAGCAGUGAGGAAUAUUGCGCAAUGGGGGCAACCCUGACGCAGCGACGCCGCGUGGGUGAGGAAGGUUUUCGGAUCGUAAAGCCCUGUCAGGUGGGAAGAAGUGUUAUGCGGUUAAUACCCGUGUAAUUUGACGGUACCACCAGAGGAAGCACCGGCUAACUCCGUGCCAGCAGCCGCGGUAAUACGGAGGGUGCGAGCGUUGUUCGGAAUUACUGGGCGUAAAGGGCGCGUA